CCAGGUGCCCCCAGGUGCCCCCAGGUGUGUCCAGUUGCCCCCAGGUGUGCCCAGGUGCCCCCAGGUGUGCCCAGGUGCCCCCACGUGCCCCCAAAUAUACCCAGGUGCCCCCAGGUGUGCCCAGAUGCCCCCAGAUGCCCCCAGGUGCCCCCAGGUGUGCCCAGUUGUCCCCAGGUGCCCCCAGGUGCCCCCAGGUGCCCCCAGAUGCCCCCAGGUGCCCCCAGUUGCCCCCAGGUGUGCCCAGAUGCCCCCAGGUGCCCCCAGGUGCCCCCAGGUGUGCCCAGGUGUGUCCCAGGUGCCCCCAGAUGCCCCCAGGUGCCCCCAGGUGCCCCCAGGUGUGCCCAGGUGCCCCCAGGUGUGCCCAGGUGUGCCCCU